UAGAUACCCCACUAUGCCUAAAAAUAAAACGGCGGAAUCAACAACACAGCCGCUCGCCAAACCACUACGAGUGAAAACUUAAAACUUAAAAGACUUGACGGUACUUCACACUCAACCUAGAGGAGCCUGUCUAAUAACCGAUAACCCACGAUUAACCCGACCCCUUCUGGCCACACAGCCUAUAUACCGCCGUCGACAGUCUACCUUAUGAAAGAAAAAAAGUAGACAAAAAAGUAUCAAACACUAAUACGACAGGUCGAGGUGUAGCUAAUGAAGAGGAUAAGAUGGGCUACAUUUUCUAAAUUAGACCAUACGAACAAAAUCAUGAAACUGAUAUUUAAAGGAGGAUUUAGCAGUAAGAUGGGAACAAAAUACCUAACUGAAACAUGCAAUGAAGUGCGUACACACCGCCCGUCACC
rnacentral:rRNA from 1 species